rnacentral:rRNA from 1 species
GGGGAAUAUUGCACAAUGGGCGAAAGCCUGAUGCAGCGACGCCGCGUGAGUGAAGAAGUAUUUCGGUAUGUAAAGCUCUAUCAGCAGGGAAGAUAAUGACGGUACCUGACUAAGAAGCACCGGCUAAAUACGUGCCAGCAGCCGCGGUAAUACGUAUGGUGCAAGCGUUAUCCGGAUUUACUGGGUGUAAAGGGAGCGUAGGCGGCAGAGUAAGUCUGAUGUGAAAGCCCGGGGCUCAACCCCGGGAUUGCAUUGGAAACUGCUCAGCUAGAGUAUCGGAGGGGUAAGUGGAAUUCCUAGUGUAGCGGUGAAAUGCGUAGAUAUUAGGAGGAACACCAGUGGCGAAGGCGACUUACUGGACGAUAACUGACACUGAGGCUCGAAAGCGUGGGGAGCAAAC